AACUGGGAUUUCUUGGCU
rnacentral:miRNA from 1 species